rnacentral:rRNA from 1 species
AGUGAACGCUGGCGGUAGGCCUAACACAUGCAAGUCGAACGGCAGCACAGUAAGAGCUUGCUCUUACGGGUGGCGAGUGGCGGACGGGUGAGGAAUACAUCGGAAUCUACUUUUUCGUGGGGGAUAACGUAGGGAAACUUACGCUAAUACCGCAUACGACCUACGGGUGAAAGCAGGGGAUCUUCGGACCUUGCGCGAUUGAAUGAGCCGAUGUCGGAUUAGCUAGUUGGCGGGGUAAAGGCCCACCAAGGCGACGAUCCGUAGCUGGACUGAGAGGAUGACUGGCCGGACGGGAACUGAGACACGGUCCAGACUCCUACGGGAGGCACCAGUGGGGAAUAUUGUACAAAGGGCUCAGGCCUGAUCCAGCCAUAGCGCGUGCGUGGAGAAGGCCUUCAGGUUGUAAAGCCCUUUUUUUGGGAAAGAAAAGCAGCAGGUUAAUACCCCGCUGUGCUGACGGUACCCAAAGUAUAAGCGCCGGCUAACUUCGUG